rnacentral:misc_RNA from 1 species
UUGAAACUUGAAACGAGGUUGACGUUGCGUCUGCUCGUACGCGAAUGUGGUGAUAUUUAAUUUAAUUCUAAUAACGUUAUUAAAUAGUUGUUUAAAAAUGCCAACCAACACUGCAGUGUCGCCCCGAGUUUUUACUGCGAUACAAAAUGUACAUAUCAAAGAACUAUCGACGUGCUCUCAGAAAGAAAUACGACCAAUUCUACCCUGUUUGGUUAGGAUGAGCUUGAUCUCACCCUUGGACAUCACAAAAGAAUGCGCAGAAGGGAGAAAAGAAAUAUUAACGAUAUUAUCCGGGAUAGAAUUAGUUAAUUCCAUCGUAGCUCUUCUAUCAAUAGACUUUCACGCGUUAGAAACUGACGUUCGUAAGGAACAACAAUUGAGACAAAAACUUGGAAGUGUUCAAAGCGACAGCAUUCUUGCUCAGUCAUUACAGAGCGGAUUAGCUUUGGAAUUCGAACGUAGUGACUCUACUCGACGACUACGCUUAGUACUCAGUGAGAUCCUUUUUAUAGCCUCUCAGAUACAAGAGCUCCAGAGAAAUCAAGAGUUUCAGAUCAAGCAAUCAGAUUUAUUUGAUAAUGCGGUUUACAUGGAAGAAAUAAGCGAUGUUAUUUGCAUAGCCCUGGCAGAACUCCCUGCUCUAUUGUCGAUUCUAGACAUGGCGGAAACUUUGUUACAUGUUAAACAUGGUCCAGAGAUAAUAUGCUGGAUCGUAGCCAACAGUCCAGAUAGUUUUGCAGAGGUUUGUGCUCAUCUGAUCGCAAAUGGAGAGAGACAAGAAGAAUCUGCCUUAGGUCGAAUUCGUACCCAAGCUUUGACCAUGCUGUGCCAAAUGAAUCCCAGUCAGGCUUUAGCUGUUAGAGCAAAAUGUGUUGAACUAUGCCGCAUGCCUGCACUUGCCAUAACUCUGAGUCUUGAACAUGAGAAUAUCGAUAACUUACAACCAGAAAGCGACAUGGUUGCUUUUGUGUCUGGAUUGUUGCUUGGAAAUGAUCAGCAAGUAAGAACUUGGAUCGCGAUGUUUGUUAGGAAUGGUCAGAAACGAAAAUGGGAGUCCCAUACAGCUCUGCAAUCUCUUAGAGAAGAACUGCUUAGAAGACUAAAGGCAAUUACUUCCCACAGCUCAGACAGUCAGUUGGCAGAGUCUUAUGUUGUUCAAGCCAGUGCCUUGCUCAGACUUUAUUGCGCGCUCAGAGGAAUCGGCGGGAUAAAAUUUCAGGACGACGAAGUUGUCAUGAUAGUGCAACUAUUGACUUCUCAUCCCCCACCAUCUCCAGCUGGGGUCAGAUUCGUGUCUUUGGGAUUGUGCAUGCUAAUUGCUUGCCCGUCGCUGAUAGGACACAGUAAUCUUGAAAAACGUAGCAUAGAAUGGGUACAGUGGCUUGUCAGAGAAGAAGUUUACUUCGAAAGUACAAGUGGCGUGUCUGCCAGCUUUGGUGAAAUGUUACUUCUCAUGGCUAUUCAUUUCCACAGCAAUCAGCUAUCCGCUAUUUGUGAGCUGGUCUGCGCUACUCUAGGAAUGAAAAUACCCAUCAGGCCAAAUAAUCUCACUAGAAUGAAGCAGAUAUUCACACAAGAAAUAUUCACUGAACAGGUUGUCACAUCUCAUGCAGUGAAGGUCCCUGUUACAGCAAAUCUCAGCGCAAACAUCCCCGGGUUUUUGCCUGUGCACUGCAUACAUCAGUUGCUAAAAUCAAGAGCUUUUGCCAAACACAAAGUACCAAUUAAAAAUUGGAUUUAUCGUCAAAUAUGCGACAGUGUACCUCCCCUACAUCCUGUACUACCAGCUCUGGUGGAGGUAUACGUCAAUUCAAUUUUAGUUACAACUAACAAAACCUCCGAACAUACCAAUAAACCAAUCACAGAGGAUGAAAUCAGAAGAGUAUUCCAGAAUAGUGUUUUUGGAGCAAAUUUCGAUCCAAAAAAGUCUGUUCUAAAUAUUGCUGAUAUGGAAAAUGAUUACAUGGAUGUCGACACUUCAAAACCAUCCCUAACGUCACAACUGUUGCUAUUGUAUUAUUUAUUAUUGUACGAGGAUGUGAGAUUAUCAAAUAUGCAUAAUUUCAUAUCACAGGGUAAAAAAGUGAAGUCGUAUUCAACCGAGUUCUUAUCUGAGUUGCCAAUAAAAUAUCUCUUGCAACAAGUUCAAAGGGAUCAAAUGAGUUACGCAGGAUUGUUUUCUCCUCUUUUGCGGCUCUUAGCCACACAUUUUCCACAUCUGUCGUUGGUGGAUGACUGGUUGGAUGAAGAGAUGAUAAAUAUAGACUCAAUGACAGCUAAUUACGACAAUGUUGUAAUUAAUGAUGUAGCAAUUAUCGAGGCAUUUGGACAUAUCGAAACUUGCCCAUCCCGAACAGGAAGAUUACUACGUCAGCUUAUAGACAUGAAGCCUACAGAUAUUUGGCCACAUGCGGAAACCAUUAUACAUUUCUUCAAAGCAAUAUUGGACAAUAAAGUACCAAGAUACAUUCAAGAAUUGUAUAAACAAGUCUGGUUAAGAUUAAACACUGUAUUACCAAGAUGCCUUUGGGUACUAUCAAUCAAUGCAUUAAUCAUUGAAAAUACAAUGGUCAGGAAUGUAUUUCUUACUCAAGAAAACAUUGUCCUUGACCCACUGCAAGUUUUGCGAUGCCACACAAGAGUUUUUAGAUGUGCGCCCGUCUUGUCAGUUAUUCUACGACGUUUCUACGAAUUGUUUUUCAUACUUUCAACAUUUGACAUGACAUUAUUUCUUAAAAUUUGGAUUUUAUUGCAUUGGAAAAUUUUCACCUCUUUGCAAGUCAUGGAUACGAAUUCUUGACGUCCACAACUUCCUUUAACAAAACAGUAUGCCGUUAUAAGUCUGUGUGGCAUAAGUUUGAGAGAUCAAAGAAAGAAGCGUCGUAUUUUGCAAGCAACAUUAGCUGCAUCUCGAUCUCAGUUAUCUAGACAUAUGCAGGACAGACCCUUAACAGAAAAAAUUGGUCAACUAACCAGCGAAGCUGAAAGAGAGGAUCUACGAACUGCUCU